CAGCAGUGGGGAAGUAUUGCACAAUGGGGGAAACCCUGAUGCAGCCAUGCCGCGUGUGUGAAGAAGGACCUUCGGGUUGUAAAGCACUUUCAGUAGGGAGGAAGGUAGUGUAGUUAACACCUGCAUUAUUUGACGUUACCUACAGAAGAAGCACCGGCUAACUCCGUGCCAGCAGCCGCGGUAAUACGGAGGGUGCGAGCGUUAAUCGGAAUUACUGGGCGUAAAGCGCAUGCAGGCGGCCUCGUUAAGUCAGAUGUGAAAGCCCGGGGCUUAACCUCGGAAUUGCAUUUGAAACUGGCAGGCUAGAGUCUUGUAGAGGGGGGUAGGAAUUUCAGGUGUAGCGGUGAAAUGCGUAGAGAUCUGAAGGAAUACCAGUGGCGAAGGCGGCCCCCUGGACAAAGACUGACGCUCAGAUGCGAAAGCGUGGGGAGCAAACAGGAUUAGAUACCCUGGUAG
rnacentral:rRNA from 1 species